AAACACGGACCAAGGAGUCUAGACUAUGCGCGAGUCAAAGGGCUGGCUAAACCCCAAGGCGAAACGAAAGUGAAAGUUUUCGAUACGGGCCGAUCCGGUUCGGGGUGUGCUGCGAGGACGGGGUUCUCUCCGUCUUCGUUUCCCCCCGAUUUACUACUGAGAUAUGUAGACGGCGCAGGCCCGGGGCUCGCUAACGCUUCCUCCCCGUCGUUAAGGCUUAUCCGUUCGUCUGUCGGGCGUUCGCUCGGCGGCGGUAGGUCGAUCUGACUUGCUUCGAGGCAGCGGUUGCGGCGUCCUUUAGGGGGCGUCGUGGUCGUUCGUUCUCGUCGUCGGCGGUCGGCCGAUUCCGCCGUUGUGGAUAACGCUCGAGGCGGCGGUUCGCUGGCGUGGGACGAGCAGCGGGUUCUCCGAGCGCAUAUUCUGGUACCCGAAAGAUGGUGAUCUAUGCCUGGCCAGGAUGAAGCCAGAGGAAACUCUGGUGGAGGUCCGUAGCGAUUCUGACGUGCAAAUCGAUCGUCG
rnacentral:rRNA from 1 species